rnacentral:rRNA from 1 species
UUAAGUUAGAAAGGGCGCACGGUGGAUGCCUUGGCACUAGGAGCCGAUGAAGGACGGGACGAACACCGAUAUGCUUCGGGGAGCUGUAAGCAAGCUUUGAUCCGGAGAUUUCCGAAUGGGGAAACCCACCACUCGUAAUGGAGUGGUAUCCAUAUCUGAAUACAUAGGAUAUGAGAAGGCAGACCCGGGGAACUGAAACAUCUAAGUACCCGGAGGAAGAGAAAGCAAAUGCGAUUCCCUGAGUAGCGGCGAGCGAAACGGGACCAGCCCAAACCAAGAGGCUUGCCUCUUGGGGUUGUAGGACACUCUGUACGGAGUUACAAAGGAACGAGGUAGAUGAAGAGGUCUGGAAAGGCCCGCCAUAGGAGGUAACAGCCCUGUAGUCAAAACUUCGUUCUCUCCUGAGUGGAUCCUGAGUACGGCGGAACACGUGAAAUUCCGUCGGAAUCCGGGAGGACCAUCUCCCAAGGCUAAAUACUCCCUAGUGACCGAUAGUGAACCAGUACCGUGAGGGAAAGGUGAAAAGCACCCCGGAAGGGGAGUGAAAGAGAUCCUGAAACCGUGUGCCUACAAGUAGUCAGAGCCCGUUAACGGGUGAUGGCGUGCCUUUUGUAGAAUGAACCGGCGAGUUACGAUCCCGUGCAAGGUUAAGCAGAAGAUGCGGAGCCGCAGCGAAAGCGAGUCUGAAUAGGGCGAAUUGAGUACGUGGUCGUAGACCCGAAACCAGGUGAUCUACCCAUGUCCAGGGUGAAGUUCAGGUAACACUGAAUGGAGGCCCGAACCCACGCACGUUGAAAAGUGCGGGGAUGAGGUGUGGGUAGGGGUGAAAUGCCAAUCGAACCUGGAGAUAGCUGGUUCUCUCCGAAAUAGCUUUAGGGCUAGCCUCAAGGUAAGAGUCUCGGAGGUAGAGCACUGAUUGGACUAGGGGCCCCUACCGGGUUACCGAAUUCAGUCAAACUCCGAAUGCCGAUGACUUAUCCUUGGGAGUCAGACUGCGAGUGAUAAGAUCCGUAGUCGAAAGGGAAACAGCCCAGACCGCCAGCUAAGGUCCCAAAGUAUACGUUAAGUGGAAAAGGAUGUGGAGUUGCUUAGACAACCAGGAUGUUGGCUUAGAAGCAGCCAUCAUUUAAAGAGUGCGUAAUAGCUCACUGGUCGAGUGACUCUGCGCCGAAAAUGUACCGGGGCUAAACGUAUCACCGAAGCUGCGGACUGUUCUUCGAACAGUGGUAGGAGAGCGUUCUAAGGGCUGUGAAGCAAGACCGGAAGGACUUGUGGAGCGCUUAGAAGUGAGAAUGCCGGUAUGAGUAGCGAAAGAGGGGUGAGAAUCCCCUCCACCGAAUGCCUAAGGUUUCCUGAGGAAGGCUCGUCCGCUCAGGGUUAGUCGGGACCUAAGCCGAGGCCGAAAGGCGUAGGCGAUGGAUAACAGGUUGAUAUUCCUGUACCACCUCCUCACCAUUUGAGCAAUGGGGGGACGCAGGAGGAUAGGGUAAGCGCGGUAUUGGAUAUCCGCGUCCAAGCAGUUAGGCUGGGAAAUAGGCAAAUCCGUUUCCCGUGAAGGCUGAGCUGUGAUGGCGAGCGAAUUAUAGUAGCGAAGUUCCUGAUUCCACACUGCCAAGAAAAGCCUCUAGCGAGGUGAGAGGUGCCCGUACCGCAAACCGACACAGGUAGGCGAGGAGAGAAUCCUAAGGUGAUCGAGAGAACUCUCGUUAAGGAACUCGGCAAAAUGACCCCGUAACUUCGGGAGAAGGGGUGCUCUGUUAGGGUGCAAGCCCGAGAGAGCCGCAGUGAAUAGGCCCAGGCGACUGUUUAGCAAAAACACAGGUCUCUGCGAAGCCGUAAGGCGAAGUAUAGGGGCUGACGCCUGCCCGGUGCUGGAAGGUUAAGAGGAGCGCUUAGCGUAAGCGAAGGUGCGAAUUGAAGCCCCAGUAAACGGCGGCCGUAACUAUAACGGUCCUAAGGUAGCGAAAUUCCUUGUCGGGUAAGUUCCGACCCGCACGAAAGGCGCAACGAUCUGGGCACUGUCUCAACGAGAGACUCGGUGAAAUUAUAGUACCUGUGAAGAUGCAGGUUACCCGCGACAGGACGGAAAGACCCCGUGGAGCUUUACUGCAGCCUGAUAUUGAAUGUUGGUACAGCUUGUACAGGAUAGGUAGGAGCCUUGGAAACCGGAGCGCCAGCUUCGGUGGAGGCAUCGGUGGGAUACUACCCUGGCUGUAUUGACCUUCUAACCCGCCGCCCUUAUCGGGCGGGGAGACAGUGUCAGGUGGGCAGUUUGACUGGGGCGGUCGCCUCCUAAAAGGUAACGGAGGCGCCCAAAGGUUCCCUCAGAAUGGUUGGAAAUCAUUCGCAGAGUGUAAAGGCACAAGGGAGCUUGACUGCGAGACCUACAAGUCGAGCAGGGACGAAAGUCGGGCUUAGUGAUCCGGUGGUUCCGCAUGGAAGGGCCAUCGCUCAACGGAUAAAAGCUACCCCGGGGAUAACAGGCUUAUCUCCCCCAAGAGUCCACAUCGACGGGGAGGUUUGGCACCUCGAUGUCGGCUCAUCGCAUCCUGGGGCUGUAGUCGGUCCCAAGGGUUGGGCUGUUCGCCCAUUAAAGCGGUACGCGAGCUGGGUUCAGAACGUCGUGAGACAGUUCGGUCCCUAUCCGUCGCGGGCGCAGGAAAUUUGAGAGGAGCUGUCCUUAGUACGAGAGGACCGGGAUGGACGCACCGCUGGUGUACCAGUUGUUCUGCCAAGGGCAUCGCUGGGUAGCUAUGUGCGGACGGGAUAAGUGCUGAAAGCAUCUAAGCAUGAAGCCCCCCUCAAGAUGAGAUUUCCCAUUCCGCAAGGAAGUAAGAUCCCUGAAAGAUGAUCAGGUUGAUAGGUCUGAGGUGGAAGUGUGGCGACACAUGGAGCUGACAGAUACUAAUCGAUCGAGGACUUAACCAA